rnacentral:rRNA from 1 species
UACGAAAGGGGCUAGCGUUGUUCGGAAUUACUGGGCGUAAAGCGCACGUAGGCGGCCAAGUAAGAUGGGGGUGAAAUGCCUGUGCUCAACCCAGGAACUGCCUUAUUGACUGGAAAACUUGAGGAGGUGAGAGGUUGGCGGAAUUCCAAGUGUAGAGGUGAAAUGCGUAGAUAUUCGGAAGAACACCGGUGGCGAAGGCGGCCAACUGACACAUUUCUGACGCUGAGGUGCGAAAGCGUGGGGAGCAAACAGG